rnacentral:rRNA from 1 species
UGGGGAAUAUUGCACAAUGGAGGGAACUCUUAUGCAGCGACGCCGCGUGAACGAAGAAGGCUUUCGAGUCGUAAAGUUCUUUUAUAUGGGAAGAUAAUGACGGUACCAUAAGAAAAAGCCCCGGCUAACUACGUGCCAGCAGCCGCGGUAAUACGUAGGGGGCUAGCGUUGUCCGGAAUCACUGGGCGUAAAGCGAGCGCAGGCGGUCAAUUAAGUCUGAUGUGAAAGCCCCCGGCGCAACCGGGGAGGGUCAUUGGAAACUGGUUGACUUGAGUGCAGAAGAGGAGAGUGGAAUUCCAUGUGUAGCGGUGAAAUGAGUAGAUAUAUGGAGGAACACCAGUGGCGAAGGCGACUCUCUGGUCUGUAACUGACGCUGAGGCUCGAAAGCGUGGGGAGCGAACAGG